GAAGAAGCAAUAGCGAAAUCGUGGCUCGACGGACAGAAAUCUGAUACAAAGGCGUAUCAAGCGGACAAGCUGGCGAAAGGCAGCAAAAUCCCAAAGGCAACCGUAACCUUGAUGCGUAAAUCAGGCGAGUAAACGAGGAAAGAUG
rnacentral:ncRNA from 1 species